rnacentral:rRNA from 1 species
GAUGAACGCUGGCGGCGUGCCUAAUACAUGCAAGUCGAGCGAACAGAUGAGGAGCUUGCUCCUCUGACGUUAGCGGCGGACGGGUGAGUAACACGUGGAUAACCUACCUAUAAGACUGGGAUAACUUCGGGAAACCGGAGCUAAUACCGGAUAAUAUAUUGAACCGCAUGGUUCAAUAGUGAAAGACGGUUUUGCUGUCACUUAUAGAUGGAUCCGCGCCGCAUUAGCUAGUUGGUAAGGUAACGGCUUACCAAGGCAACGAUGCGUAGCCGACCUGAGGGGGUGGUCGCCCAACGUAGAGUGGAGACACGCCCACGACCCCCGGGGGGGGCAGGAGGAGGAAAUCUCCCGAAGGGGCGAAACGCGGUCGGGAGCAACGCGGGGGGAGAGAGAAAGGUUUUCGGAUCAAAAAACUGUUUUAUGGGAAAAAAAAAAAUGUAUAAGUAACUAACCACGUCUUGAGGGUACAUAAUAAAAAAGCCAGGGCAACCCAGGCC